rnacentral:rRNA from 1 species
CCUACGGGCGGCAGCAGUGAGGAAUAUUGGUCAAUGGGCUUACGCCUGAACCAGCCAAGUCGCGUGAGGGAAGAAUGCCCUAUGGGUUGUAAACCUCUUUUGUCAGGGAGCAACGCCGGCUACGUGUAGCCGGACUGAGAGUACCUGAAGAAAAAGCAUCGACUAACUCCGUGCCAGCAGCCGCGGUAAUACGGAGGAUGCGAGCGUUAUCCGGAUUGAUUGGGUUUAAAGGGUGCGUAGGCGGAAUGCCAAGUCAGCGGUAAAAUCGCGGGGCUCAACCUCGCUCCGCCGUUGAAACUGGCGUUCUUGAGUGGGCGAGAAGUAUGCGGAAUGCGUGGUGUAGCGGUGAAAUGCAUAGAUAUCACGCAGAACUCCGAUUGCGAAGGCAGCAUACCGGCGCCCAACUGACGCUGAAGCACGAAAGCGUGGGUAUCGAACAGGAUUAGAUACCCUUGUAGUC